rnacentral:rRNA from 1 species
UACAGAGGGUGCAAGCGUUGUUCGGAAUUAUUGGGCGUAAAGCGCGUGUAGGCGGCUUUGCAAGUCGGGUGUGAAAUCCCUCAGCUCAACUGAGGAAGUGCGCCCGAAACUGCAGAGCUUGAGUACCGGAGAGGAUGGCGGAACUCCCCAAGUAGAGGUGAAAUUCGUAGAUAUGGGGAGGAACACCGGUGGCGAAGGCGGCUCACUGGCUCAUUACUGACGCUCAGGCGCGAUAGCGUGGGGAUCAAACAGG